UACGUAGGCAGCGAGCGUUGUUCGGAGUUACUGGGCGUAAAGCGUGCGUAGGCGGUUUUCCAAGUCUGGUGUGAAAUCUCCCGGCUCAACUGGGAGGGUGCGCUAGAAACUGGGAGGCUGGAGUGCGGGAGAGGUAGGCGGAAUUCCUGGUGUAGCGGUGAAAUGCGUAGAUAUCAGGAGGAACACCGGUGGUGUAGACGGCCUGCUGGACCGUAACUGACGCUGAGGCACGAAAGCGUGGGGAGCAAACAGGAUUAGAAACCCCCGUAGUCC
rnacentral:rRNA from 1 species